CCGCAAGGGAUGAGUAGAGUGGCAAACGGGUGAGUAACGCGUGGGUGACCUGCCUUCGAGUGGGGGAUAACGUUCCGAAAGGAGCGCUAAUACCGCAUGACAUCCUGCCUUUCAAGAGGUGGAGAUCAAAGCUGGGGAUCGCAAGACCUGGCGCUGGAAGAGGGGCCCGCGUCCGAUUAGCUAGUUGGUGGGGUAAUGGCCUACCAAGGCGACGAUCGGUAGCCGGCCUGAGAGGGCGGACGGCCACACUGGGACUGAGACACGGCCCAGACUCCUACGGGAGGCAGCAGUGGGGAAUUGUUCGCAAUGGGCGCAAGCCUGACGACGCAACGCCGCGUGGAGGAUGAAGACCUUCGGGUCGUAAACUCCUUUCGAUCGAGACGAACGACCUCCGGAUGAAUACUUCGGAGGAGUGACGGUACCGAGAGAAGAAGCCCCGGCUAACUCCGUGCCAGCAGCCGCGGUAAUACGGGGGGGGCAAGCGUUGUUCGGAAUUACUGGGCGUAAAGGGCUCGUAGGUGGCCAACUAAGUCAUGCGUGAAAUCCCUCGGCUUAACCGGGGAACUGCGUCUGAUACUGGAUGGCUUGAGUGUGGGAGAGGGAUGCGGAAUUCCAGGUGUAGCGGUGAAAUGCGUAGAUAUCUGGAGGAACACCGGUGGCGAAGGCGGCAUCCUGGACCAUUACUGACACUGAGGAGCGAAAGCCAGGGGAGCAAACGGGAUU
rnacentral:rRNA from 1 species